AUGGCAAGAUGUUGAAAGGCGGCUUCGGCUGUNNCUACGAGAUGGGCCCGCGGCGUAUUAGCUAGUUGGUAGGGUAAUGGCCUACCAAGGCGACGAUACGUAGCCGACCUGAGAGGGUGAUCGGCCACACUGGGACUGAGACACGGCCCAGACUCCUACGGGAGGCAGCAGUAGGGAAUCUUCCGCAAUGGACGCAAGUCUGACGGAGCAACGCCGCGUGAGUGACGAAGGUUUUCGGAUCGUAAAACUCUGUUGUGAGGGAAGAACACGUACCAGCUAACUACUGGUACCUUGACGGUACCUCACCAGAAAGCCACGGCUAACUACGUGCCAGCAGCCGCGGUAAUACGUAGGUGGCAAGCGUUGUCCGGAAUUAUUGGGCGUAAAGCGCGCGCAGGCGGUCCUUUAAGUCUGAUGUGAAAGCCCACGGCUCAACCGUGGAGGGUCAUUGGAAACUGGAGGACUUGAGUGCAGAAGAGGAAAGUGGAAUUCCAUGUGUAGCGGUGAAAUGCGUAGAGAUGUGGAGGAAUC
rnacentral:rRNA from 1 species